rnacentral:rRNA from 1 species
CCUACGGGAGGCAGCAGUAGGGAAUCUUCCGCAAUGGACGAAAGUCUGACGGAGCAACGCCGCGUGAGUGAUGAAGGUUUUCGGAUCGUAAAGCUCUGUUGUUAGGGAAGAACAAGUGCGAGAGUAACUGCUCGCACCUUGACGGUACCUAACCAGAAAGCCACGGCUAACUACGUGCCAGCAGCCGCGGUAAUACGUAGGUGGCAAGCGUUGUCCGGAAUUAUUGGGCGUAAAGGGCUCGCAGGCGGUUUCUUAAGUCUGAUGUGAAAGCCCCCGGCUCAACCGGGGAGGGUCAUUGGAAACUGGGAAACUUGAGUGCAGAAGAGGAGAGUGGAAUUCCACGUGUAGCGGUGAAAUGCGUAGAGAUGUGGAGGAACACCAGUGGGGAAGGGGACUCUCUGGUCUGUAACUGACGCUGAGAGCGAAG